UACGGGGGAGCAAGCGUUGUUCGGAUUUACUGGGCGUAAAGGGCGCGUAGGCGGUCGUGACAAGUCACUUGUGAAAUCUCCGGGCUUAACUCGGAACGGUCAAGUGAUACUGUCGGACUAGAGUACAGAAGGGGCAACUGGAAUUCUCGGUGUAGCGGUGAAAUGCGUAGAUAUCGAGAGGAACACCCUGCGGCGAGGCGG
rnacentral:rRNA from 1 species